AAAUAGUUGUGUAUGUUUCAUUGUUCUUUGCAAAGCGAGUUUCGCUUUUUAUACAUAUAUAUGAACGUACAUACACACGCAAUAUUCUGGAUUUUUCAUUAUUGAUGGAAGAAAACAUGCUCCUAGAUUCAUAUACGUUUGUACAUACAUCCGUCUCAAUGUAUUUUUGUAUGUUUUAUUAAAUAUUAGUAAAUACAAUACGUUUGCAUAACGAGGGUGCCACAUUUAGCGUACGUUUCUUAUGUGCAUCAAUAUAAAGCGGCUUAGUGCUAAGGGAUUAUACUAGUUCACAAAUAAAUCACUGGACUUGUCAAUUCAAGCUACCUUCUUGGUCAAAUACAGUUCUCCAUUCUUGUAAGGUCAAAUCGUGACUUUCGACCUAUUGCCCUAGAAAUGUGUAGAACUUAUUUUGAGUUGCAUGAUCCAUUUCGCGUUUUAUGUUCGCGAUAUAAUGAACUCUAUUUUUUGAUAUUCACUGAAUACUCUGUAAACUUGAAUGUGAAACGGGUACUAUGUUUAUGGUGGCAGAUAUUUUAAUAAAAUAAAUAAAUAAAAAUCGAA